ACAUACAACCAAAAGCACAAUAUAUACACACAACCUAAAAAAUAUCAAGUGAAUCAGAGAGACACAGAGAAAAAUGAGAGGAGAAGUAUGAAGGAGGAGGAGACAACCGAACGCCUAGAUAUAAUAUAAUAGAUUGAUGUGGGAGAUAGUAUGCAAAAUGAGGAGACGCAGAGAGAAGGAAGAGAAGAUGUUUGAAACAU
ensembl:ncRNA C01B10.49 ncRNA